rnacentral:rRNA from 1 species
GAUAAACGCUGGCGGCGUGCCUAAUACUUGCAAGUCGAGCGAACAGACGAGGAGCUUGCUCCUCUGAUGUUAGCGGCGGACGGGUGAGUAACACGUGGAUAACCUACCUAUAAGACUGGGAUAACUUCGGGAAACCGGAGCUAAUACCGGAUAACAUGUUGAACCGCAUGGUUCAACAGUGAAAGACGGUCUUGCUGUCACUUAUAGAUGGAUCCGCGCCGCAUUAGCUAGUUGGUAAGGUAACGGCUUACCAAGGCAACGAUGCGUAGCCGACCUGAGAGGGUGAUCGGCCACACUGGAACUGAGACACGGUCCAGACUCCUACGGGAGGCAGCAGUAGGGAAUCUUCCGCAAUGGGCGAAAGCCUGACGGAGCAACGCCGCGUGAGUGAAGAAGGUCUUCGGAUCGUAAAACUCUGUUAUUAGGGAAGAACAAAUGUGUAAGUAACUAUGCACGUCUUGACGGUACCUAAUCAGAAAGCCACGGCUAACUACGUG